rnacentral:rRNA from 1 species
AACGUAGGACGCAAGCGUUAUCCGGAGUUACUGGGCGUAAAGCGCGGGCAGGCGGUCUUGCCAGUCUGAUGUGAAAUCUCCUCGCUCAACGGGGAGCAGCCAUUGGAAACUACAAGACUGGAGUCUGGCAGAGGUAGGCGGAAUUCCGGGUGGAGUGGUGAAAUGCGUAGAGAUCCGGAGGAACACCAGAGGCGAAGGCGGCCUACUGGGCCAGUACUGACGCUGAGCCGCGAAAGCUAGGGGAGCAAACGGG